rnacentral:lncRNA from 1 species
CUUCACGAGAUACAAUAUAUGGAAACACCGGUGUCCCAAAAGCCGCUCGUUAACGAGACGAUUGUGUUGAACUCCUUGUUUUAAAUGGAAGAAGUUACCCUUCCUAACACAAAACACGACAGCACUCAGCAUAUUUUGUGUCUGAACCUGCCUUGAGGAGUUAAGAAGCAAUAUACAAUUAUUCAUUCCACAUCUUGCUAUAGAUCACCGUUUUUUUUUUAUUAAUGUUGUUGUUUAUGGCGCACUGAUUCGAUGUUAAUAUACGAAAGCGAUCAUCAGAUGAUCUGAAUAUUUUUACACCUGAUACAUCAGCAGCCUUCAUCAUCUUUAAAAGACUAAAUCAGCAUUUGGAAUGUUUACAAGAAGAGUUUUCCUUCUUAUUAAAUAUGGAUUACGAAUGAGUUUGCAGAGUCUCCAUAUCGCUGCAAAGAUCACAGCUGCUGGAAAUAUAGCAGUUGAAAGAUACAUUUUUGCAAGAAAUUAAGUAUAUGCA